rnacentral:tRNA from 1 species
GAGGGUAUAGCUCAAUUGGUAGAGUGCUUGCUUAGCAUGCAUGAGGUCUGGGGUUCAAUCCCCAGUACCCCCA